GCCGGGGUAGCUCAGUUGGUAGAGCAGCGGACUGAAAAUCCGCGUGUGGGCAGUUCAAUUCUGUCCCCCGGCACCA
rnacentral:tRNA from 1 species